rnacentral:lncRNA from 1 species
CUUGUCUGGAGUUGCUGGAGAGCCAGUGGGAUUGCAUCUUUUGCAGAGGACAGGUCCUUAAGGGCAAAAUCGCUUAAGAGUCAAAAUGGCCUUGAAAAUUCCUUGGGAAGCCGUCAUGUUGGAGCCAACCACUAUUUCUCAAUAAUUUCAGCACAGCCAGUUUUUCCUCCUGCGUUGGGACGGAUCGCUGUUUCUCCUGUCAAGCUCCAGAUACAGUAAAGUCUUGUGUUUAGGGGCCACACAGUGGAGUGGGACACUCACAGGCAGAGGGAGGAACCAGGUGCUCCUACUCAGAGACACGUGGGACCCAACGGGAGGGUUUGGCUUGGAAGAGACACCUUCAAAGUGAGUGGUGUGGGGAUUUCCCCAUCAUAUAAUGUCCCCUUUGGGGUGUGAG